rnacentral:rRNA from 1 species
AUUGAACGCUGGCGGCAUGCCUUACACAUGCAAGUCGAACGGUAACGGGCCUUCGGGUGCCGACGAGUGGCGAACGGGUGAGUAAUGUAUCGGAACGUACCUUUCAGUGGGGGAUAACGUAGCGAAAGUUACGCUAAUACCGCAUAUUCUGUGCGCAGGAAAGCAGGGGAUCGCAAGACCUUGCGCUGAUUGAGCGGCCGAUAUCAGAUUAGCUAGUUGGUGAGGUAAAGGCUCACCAAGGCGACAAUCUGUAGCGGGUCUGAGAGGAUGAUCCGCCACACUGGAACUGAGACACGGUCCAGACUCCUACGGGAGGCAGCAGUGGGGAAUUUUGGACAAUGGGGGCAUCCCUGAUCCAGCCAUGCCGCGUGAGUGAAGAAGGCCUUCGGGUUGUAAAGCUCUUUCGGCCGGGAAGAAAUCGUAUCAGCUAAUACCUGGUGCGGAUGACGGUACCGGCAUAAGAAGCACCGGCUAACUACGUGCCAGCCGCCGCCGUAAUAC